rnacentral:rRNA from 1 species
UACGGGGGGGUGCGAGCGUUAAUCGGAAUUACUGGCGUAAAGCGCACGUAGGCGUUAGGUAAGUCGGAUGUGAAAGCCCUGGGCUUAACCUGGGAACUGCAUUCGAUACUGCCUGGCUAGAGUAUGGGAGAGGGAAGCGGAAUUUCCGGUGUAGCGGUGAAAUGCGUAGAUAUCGGAAGGAACACCAAUGGCGAAGGCAGCUUCCUGGCCCCAAUACUGACGCUCAGGUGCGAAAGCGUGGGGAUCAAACAGGAUUAAGAAACCCAUAGGUAGUCCA